rnacentral:rRNA from 1 species
CGAUUCCCUACGGGGUGCAGCAGGCGCGAAAACUUUACAAUGCGGGAAACCGUGAUAAGGGGACACCGAGUGUCAGCAUCAUAUGCUGGCUGUCCAGGUGUGUAAAAUACACCUGUUAGCAAGGGCCGGGCAAGACCGGUGCCAGCCGCCGCGGUAACACCGGCGGCCCGAGUGGUGAUCGUGAUUAUUGGGUCUAAAGGGUCCGUAGCCGGUUUGGUCAGUCCUCCGGGAAAUCUGAUAGCUCAACUAUUAGGCAAUCGGGGGAUACUACCAGACUUGGAACCGGGAGAGGUAAGAGGUACUACAGGGGUAGGAGUGAAAUCUUGUAAUCCCUGUGGGACCACCUGUGGCGAAGGCGUCUUACCAGAACGGGUUCGACGGUGAGGGACGAAAGCUGGGGGCACGAACCGGAUUAGAUACCCGGGUAGUCCCAGCCGUAAACGAUGCUCGCUAGGUGUCAGGCAUGGCGCGACCGUGUCUGGUGCCGCAGGGAAGCCGUGAAGCGAGCCACCUGGGAAGUACGGCCGCAAGGCUGAAACUUAAAGGAAUUGGCGGGGGAGCACAACAACGGGUGGAGCCUGCGGUUUAAUUGGACUCAACGCCGGACAACUCACCGGGGGCGACAGCAAUAUGUAGGCCAAGCUGAAGACUUUGCCUGAAUCGCUGAGA